rnacentral:tRNA from 1 species
AGUUAAGAAGUAAAAAAAAAUUACAUUUAGUUUCGACCUAAAUAUAGGAUUAAAUAUCCCUUACUUU